GCAAUAAAAAAAACCACUGAGCAGCAGCACCAGAGCUGAGGCUGUAACGUGUUAGGGCGAGCCGGGGACUCCUCGCCACUUAUGUCAUUUUUAACGUAUCCCAUAUUCAAAAAUAUUAGUUUUAAUAAGGUAGCCGUUGACGGGUUGUGAUUGGGAACGUUACGUACGGGGGCACGUCUGAGCGGUGCGGUUUAUUUUUAACGUUAGCUAAAACAAAGCGGACCCUCAUAACAGUUUUAGCUGAGGCUCUUCGCCUCACUAACCGUUUUUUUUUUCCUUUAAAAGAGGGCACUUUAGGGGCAAAUGUUAUUGUAAACCAGCUGAAACGCCAGUAUAACAUCAGCAUAAGAUGGAUCUGCGGUUACUUUUAAUAGCAACGUUAUCAGCGGUCCUCUGGGGCAGCUGGGCACAGCAAGAGGGAAGCAUAUGCAUCAAGGCAAACGCACAGUCCUGUGGGGAAUGCAUCCAGGUGGACGAGAAGUGUGGAUGGUGCUCAGACGAAGUGAGUCGAAUCAUAAAAGUAUUUUAUCACAUGAGUGAAAACUUAUGUGAUGUUAUUAGACGGU